rnacentral:rRNA from 1 species
AGAGUUUGAUCAUGGCUCAGAGCGAACGCUGGCGGCGUGCCUAACACAUGCAAGUCGAGCGAACCGUUUGGGGCAACUUGAACGGUUAGCGGCGGACGGGUGAGUAACACGUGGGUAACCCACCUGGGCGACCGGGAUAACGGCUCGAAAGGGCCGCUAAUACCGGAUACGCUCCCUGGGGCACAAGCCUCGGGGAGGAAAGGUCGCGCAAGCAACCACUCCCAGACGGGCCCGCGGCCCAUUAGCUAGUUGGCGGGGUAACGGCCCACCAAGGCAAUGAUGGGUAGCCGGUCUGAGAGGAUGACCGGCCACACGGGGACUGAGACACGGCCCCGACUCCUACGGGAGGCAGCAGUGGGGAAUCUUCCGCAAUGGGCGAAAGCCUGACGGAGCGACGCCGCGUGGGGGACGAAGGCCUUCGGGUCGUAAACCCCUGUCAGAGGGAAAGAAGGGUGCCGGCGUAAAUAGCGCCGGUAUUUGACGGUACCCUCAGAGAAGC